CUCAUUAAAUCAGUUAUAGUUUAUUUGAUGGUCUCUUUUGUCUUUUUUUUACCUACUUGGAUAACCGUGGUGAUUCUAGAGCUAAUACAUGCGCAAGGUCCCGAGCGGCGGGGGGCAGGGCUUCACGGCCCUGUCCUCGCAUGCGCAGAGGGAUGUAUUUAUUAGGUUAAACAACCAGCAUCUUUUUCAUUUCUGGUGAUUCAUAGUAACUCUUUCGGAUCGCAUUCAUG
rnacentral:rRNA from 1 species